GAGUACGAUCGCAAGAUUAAACUCAAAGGAAUUGACGGGGCCCCGCACAAGCAGCGGAGCAUGCGGCUUAAUUCGACGCAACGCGAAGAACCUUACCAAGGCUUGACAUAUACAGGAAUAUGGCAGAGAUGUCAUAGCCGCAAGGUCUGUAUACAGGUGGUGCAUGGUUGUCGUCAGCUCGUGUCGUGAGAUGUUGGGUUAAGUCCCGCAACGAGCGCAACCCUCGUUCUGUGUUGCCAGCAUUUAGUUGGGGACUCACAGGAGACUGCCGGGGUUAACUCGGAGAAGGUGGGGAUGACGUCAAAUCAUCAUGCCCCUUAUGUCUUGGGCUGCACGCAUGCUACAAUGGUUGGUACAAACGGGCUGCGAUACCGCAAGGUGGAGCGAAUCCGAGAAAGCCAGUCUCAGUUCGGAUUGGGGUCUGCAACUCGACCCCAUGAAGUCGGAGUUGCUAGUAAUCGUAGAUCAGCAACGCUACGGUGAAUACGUUCCCGGGGCUUGUACACACCGCCCGUCACAUCACGAAAGUCGGUAACACCCAAAGUCAGUGGCCCAACCGCAAGGAGGGAGCUGCCAAAGGUGGGAUCGGUGAUUGGGAUG
rnacentral:rRNA from 1 species